rnacentral:rRNA from 1 species
GUGAGGAAUAUUGGUCAAUGGGCGAGAGCCUGAACCAGCCAAGUCGCGUGAAGGAAGAAGGAUCUAUGGUUCGUAAACUUCUUUUGCAGGGGAAUAAAGUGCAGGACGUGUCCUGUUUUGUAUGUACCCUGAGAAUAAGGAUCGGCUAACUCCGUGCCAGCAGCCGCGGUAAUACGGAGGAUCCGAGCGUUAUCCGGAUUUAUUGGGUUUAAAGGGUGCGUAGGUGGUUUGAUAAGUCAGCGGUGAAAGUUUGCAGCUUAACUGUAAAAAUGCCGUUGAAACUGUCGGACUUGAGUGUAAAUGAGGUAGGCGGAAUGCGUGGUGUAGCGGUGAAAUGCAUAGAUAUCACGCAGAACUCCGAUUGCGAAGGCAGCUUACUAAGCUACAACUGACACUGAAGCACGAAGGCGUGGGGAUCAAACAGGAUUAGAAACCCCGGUAGUCC